rnacentral:rRNA from 1 species
GGCGGCGAGUGGCGAACGGGUGAGUAAUACAUAGGAAUCUGCCCAUGUAGUGGGGGACAACUUCGGGAAACCGGAGCUAAUACCGCAUACGUCCUACGGGAGAAAGCAGGGGAUCUUCGGACCUUGCGCUAUUGGAUGAGCCCAAGUCAGAUUAGCUAGUUGGUGAGGUAAUGGCUCACCAAGGCGACGAUCUGUAGCUGGUCUGAGAGGAUGAUCAGCCACACUGGGACUGAGACACGGCCCAGACUCC